UACGGAGGAUGCGAGCGUUAUCCGGAUUUAUUGGGUUUAAAGGGUGCGUAGGCGGACGCUUAAGUCAGCGGUAAAAUUGCGGGGCUCAACCUCGUCGAGCCGUUGAAACUGGGUGCCUUGAGUGGGCGAGAAGUACGCGGAAUGCGUGGUGUAGCGGUGAAAUGCAUAGAUAUCACGCAGAACUCCGAUUGCGAAGGCAGCGUACCGGCGCCCAACUGACGCUGAAGCACGAAAGCGUGGGGAUCGAACAGG
rnacentral:rRNA from 1 species